rnacentral:rRNA from 1 species
UUCCAGACUCCUACGGGAGGCAGCAGUGGGGAAUAUUGGGCAAUGGACGCAAGUCUGACCCAGCAACGCCGCGUGAAGGAAGAAGGCUUUCGGGUUGUAAACUUCUUUUAAGGGGGAAGAGCAGAAGACGGUACCCCUUGAAUAAGCCACGGCUAACUACGUGCCAGCAGCCGCGGUAAUACGUAGGUGGCAAGCGUUGUCCGGAAUUACUGGGUGUAAAGGGAGCGUAGGCGGGGAUGCAAGUUGGGUGUCAAAACUACCGGCUCAACUGGUAGUCGCACUCAAAACUGCAGCUCUUGAGUGAAGUAGAGGCAGGCGGAAUUCCUAGUGUAGCGGUGAAAUGCGUAGAUAUUAGGAGGAACACCAGUGGCGAAGGCGGCCUGCUGGGCUGCGACUGACGUUGAGGCCCGAAAGCGUGGGGAGCAAACAGGAUUAGAUACCCGGGUAGC